AUUGAACGCUGGCGGCAGGCCUAACACAUGCAAGUCGAAUGGUAACAGGAAACAGCUUGCUGUUUCGCUGACGAGUGGCGGACGGGUGAGUAAUGUCUGGGAAACUGCCUGAUGGAGGGGGAUAACUACUGGAAACGGUAGCUAAUACCGCAUAACGUCGCAAGACCAAAGAGGGGGACCUUCGGGCCUCUUGCCAUCAGAUGUUCCCAGAUGGGAUUAGCUAGUAGGUGGGGUAACGGCUCACCUAGGCGACGAUCGCUAGAUGGUCUGAGAGGAUGACCGGCCACACUGGAACGGAGACACGGACCAGACUACUACGGGAGGCAGCAGUGGGGAAUAUUGCACAAUGGGCGCAAGCCUGAUGCAGCCAUGCCGCGUGUAUGAAGAAGGCCUUCGGGUUGUAAAGUACUUUCAGCGGGGAGGAAGGGAGUAAAGUUAAUACCUUUGCUCAUUGACGUUACCCGCAGAAGAAGCACCGGCUAACUACGUG
rnacentral:rRNA from 1 species